rnacentral:rRNA from 1 species
UACGUAGGUGGCAAGCGUUGUCCGGAUUUAUUGGGCGUAAAGCGAGCGCAGGCGGUUCCUUAAGUCUGAUGUGAAAGCCCACGGCUCAACCGUGGAAGGUCAUUGGAAACUGGGGAACUUGAGUGCAGAAGAGGAGAGUGGAAUUCCAUGUGUAGCGGUGAAAUGCGUAGAUAUAUGGAGGAACACCAGUGGCGAAGGCGAUUCUCUGGACUGUAACUGACGCUGAGGCUCGAAAGCGUGGGAGCAAACAGGAUUAGA